rnacentral:rRNA from 1 species
GUGGCAGCCGCCGCGGUAAUACGUAGGCUACAAGCGUUACCCGGAUUUAUUGGGCGUAAAGGGUCUGUAGACGGUUUUUCAAGUCUGAUUUCAAAGCCUCCGACUCAAUCGGAGAAAGGGGUCAGAUACUGGGAGACUAGAGUCAUAUCGGGGUUACUGGAAUUUUUGGUGUAGGGAUUAAAUCCGUGGAUACCAAAAAGAACACCAAGCGCGAAGGCGGGUAACUAGGUAUGCACUGACGUUCAGAGACGAAAGCUAGGGUAGCAAAUCAGAUUAGAGACCUGAGUAGUCCUAGCCGUAAACAUUGUCCGUUAGUUCUUCUCGAUUUAUCGGGGGGGAUGUUAGCUAACGCGUUAAACGGACCGCCUGGGGAGUAUAGCCGCAAGGCCGAAACUUAAACGAAUUGGCGGGGAGGCGCACAACCAGUGGAGCAUGUGGUUCAAUUCGAUACAAAGCGAUGAACCUUACCUGGGCUUGAAAUGCACCUGCAGAUUCCUGAAAGGGAAAGUCCUUCGAGGGUGGUGCACAGCAGUUGCAUGGCUGUCGUCAGCUCGUGACGUGAGUUGUUCUCUUAAGUAAGGUAACGAGCGCAACCCCCAUUCUGUGUUAUUGUGUCACAGAAGACUGCCUAGCAUUAUUUUGUUAGGAGGAAGGAGGGGACGACGUCAAGUCAUCAUGAUGCUUAUGUCCAGGGCUACACACAUCCUACAAGGGGCUAUAACAGAGGGUUGCAAGACCGCAAGGUGGAGCUAAUCCCUAAACUAGCCCUCAGUUGGGAUUGCAGGCUGAAACUCGCCUGCAUGAACCCGGAAUUGGUAGUAAUCGCACAUCAGCAGCGUGCGGUGAAUACGUUCUCGCCUCUUGCACACACUGCCCGUCAAAUCAGCAAAGUUGGGGGUACCCAAAGGCUCUGGCUUGCCAGGGACUAAGGUAAAUCCAGCGAUGAGGGUUAAGUCGUAACAAGGUAACC